UUUCAGGGAAUGUUAUGAAGAGUAUAAAGGGGGUAUAAGGAUUCAGCUUUGCUAAAUGAAGCAUUACUGGAACAUCUCCAACUUAUCGAUGUCACAACAAUCCACAUCUCUGGCAAACCCCAUAAUCAGUAUGCUGCAUCCACCAAGAUGAAGGAAAGAUAGAAAAUAUGCGACCUAAGGAACAGCCAUCCAUUGGGCCAAAGACUCCAGGAGCCAAAAGGAAUGCAGCAUACGGGGAAGUGGAAUAGUUGAAGUAGGCUGUCAUGAACCAUAGGCCACCAUAAUUAUGGAGGUGGUCAUAUAGAAUGCAAUUUUCAUAUAUUUAUUUGCAUGCAGUGCCUGUAUUUGAAGGUGCCAAAUCUUAAAGUGAAUGUGAAGGCAUUUAGUUAUUCUCAUGCUUCUACACAAAAUGUAAGUUUAGGUCCUAAGGCCAGCAGCCCAGGCGAGGGAAAAUGCCACUAAGGAAACUGCCUUCCAUUAGGCUUAAGACUAAGGAGUCAAAAGAAAUAAAGCAUACAGGGCGGCAGAAACAUCAGAUCAGAGGGAGGCCAGACCUGAAGCCAAAGGACAAGAGUUAAUGCAUCCAGAGCAGUGAAGUACCAGAACAGAGGAAGGCCAUACUGGUCGAUCUGAGGAUGAGAGGAGCAGCAUCCAGAGCAGGAGAAGGAUCAGAACAGAGGGAGGCCAGACUGGAUAUCCAAAGGACACGGGUAGAUGUGUCCAGAGCAGUGGAAGUAUCAGAACAGAGGAAGCCAUGCUGGUAGAUCUGAGGACGAGAGUAGCUGCAUCCAGAAAAGGAGGACCAGAACAGAGGGAGGUCAGGUUCUGACAUGUUAGGGUGACAGUUUUAGUGAUCAGAACUCAAAGGAAUAUUGCAUAUUGAAAAAAAACAGCAUUCCAUUACAGUCUGGAUGUCGGGUAUCACAAGAUACCCUCAUGUAUCCAUUGGAAAGUUGGACAAUGUCAGCACUGCAGUGCGCUCAAGUGGAAAGAUGAGGCUCCAGGACUCUCCUGCAGCAAUGGAAAGGUGUCUGCCAUCUUUGGUCAGUCUGCCUGAUCCACAGCAGGAUAUAUGACCACUUCUCGAAAUUUUCUUGAUAACUUCCGGAAUUACAACUGCUUCCAAAUGACAUUGUUCAGUACAAAUGAGAUUCACAAGACAGAAGGUCAGGUGUAUCACGCGUUUGGAUCCUUGCCUCCUAUACUAGAAGUGGACCCAAAAUGAGGGAGAGCAAGACGAAGAGUCCAAAGGAAGGAGUUGCGGAGUCGCUCUAAACCUCCGUGAGUUUCUUUGCAAGUACCACACUGAUGUUACCAUCUUCAAACCAACCUUGGAGUUCAUGCCCACAGAGAAUCACAAGAUCAGUAUUAGGGCAGACAAGAGUCCUGAGGGUGAGCACAUAAGACUAUUCAUUGUCCCCACCCUCAACGAAGUGGCCAUGGUGAUUCGAGGCCUGCAACAUCGUCCUUCACAAGAGAAACCAUUCAGUUUAAAGGGUGACCAGCACUCUGGUCCUAUGACACCCUGCAGUAUCCUCUGAUAUUCUGGCAAGGUGAGGAUGACCACUACUAAAACAUUCCUCAAACCAGUCUGGCAACUGGUGAAGGAAAGUGUUGUCGCAAGAAGACUAUACUAUAGAAUCAUGUUGCAAGGUGGAUAAGAGAACCUAUUUUUGAAGUGCAGUAUGCCGUUUCACCAGUUGCUGUGGACAUGUACACCAAAAUUAAGAGCCACCAAAUAAAUCCGCCUCCAUGAUGCCAUCACCAGCGACAUUAAUCCAAGGGAGGUUGGAAAAAGGGCCCAUCCUGCCCUCGAGCAUCAUUGGAAGUCAUCAUUGGAAGUCCCAGGUACCUGCACAAUUAUACCCAAGAUGUGAUGAUUUAUGGAAGAACGGACCUAUUCAUCUGUUCAGAGAAGGUUCUGAAGGAACUCGUCAGUGAAAUGGAAACUGGAGAAGGCAGCUACCCCCUCUACUUCAAGUGAAAACAAGGAGCUUCCAGGUUGAUAGCAUGUAUCAUUAUGAAACUUGGCCUGAAGUACCAGCAGGUUGAGGUGGACAACAGAUGUGUUGUCAUACCAAACGCCCCUCUCAAAAAUGAUGUUCCAAGCCCACAACAACAUCAAGUGGUGUAAUUUAGUGAAAUCUAUGAAGCAUAUUAAUGAACAAGGGGAGGGACCAAGUCAUCAUCAUAUUCUAGUUACAGACCAGCCCAUCCAGGAUGAAGUGCAGGCCUUCCAACUCGGCAGUGAAGCCACCUGGAGAAUCUUAAGAGCUUCCAGAUCCAUGACAGGUACCUGGCCAUACUAAAUAAACGUUUAGUGUUCACUUGGAAAAUUGUCAGGGAAUGACUUCAGCCUGUAUGGGAUCCAACUGGAACAAAUGCAGGCGCCACCCAAGUCCACCUUAACGUCUGAGCUGUUAGGAAGACCCCUUCACAAAGGCUGUACUUGAUUCGGCUCGGUACUCUAUUACACCUGGGAUUCCAGCAGCAAAAAAUUCAGGAGGCAAAAGCGGGACAAGGAUGUCAAAGGCUACCAGGGAGUCAUAUCCACUGACACCCUGGAAAGAGUGUAUAUACUGUGCCAUCCUUGCAGCGUUGAAUGUUUUUACUUGUGAAUGUUUCUGCGUGUUGUACAGGGAUACACGUCAUUCACGAGUCUGAAAUGGGAGGACAGUCAAGCCAGUUUAGUUUAUUGGAGAAUGACCAGCACCGGGACCUCACCCUGGCCAAAGCUACUUUGUCGCAGCCACAGAGGAAGACUGCGUCAUAUCCAACCCCCUUCAGCUCUGAUAAAAGUACAGGAUGGCACUGAGGGAAGAUAUUCAGCAUCAAGAGGCAAGAUAAUCCGACCUUGCCUAUAGACUCCUGCAACGCCAUCUGUUGGAAUUAGAGUGUAUGCCAUGUCGGGGAAAAUCAUAAGGACUUCCAGCUUGCCUUCCCCUCCUAUUGAUCCUAAUACCUACCCAACCAGCUUUACUUCGAGAGACCAGUUGCAGGUCCAAGGCCCUUUCCCAGUUAGUUGUGGAAAAGAAACUCCUGCUGAUGUCAGACCAGUGGAGAGCCUAUGUAUGAUGCCAUUCUGUGAACCAUGCCAACAGCCAAACAGAUGCAACAUUAAUCUCAUUCUGGCCUGAGUUCAAGAGGAGAAUUAAAGAGUCCCUUGGCUUCUGGAUGGAGGUCACACUGCCAAAUGUGUUUUGCAAUUGUCACUCAGUUUGGCUCUGCUCAUAGGCUCCUGUCUGCUACAUUUCCAAGGGCCACACCAAAGUUCUUCAUCAGUGCAGCCUCAUCGUUUCUGACGAAUGCACCAUGGCCAACAAAUGAGGCUUCUGUUCUUUUGGCUGGAGGGACUCUCCAAACCUUUCCAGUAAUCAUUCGGGGUACCAGCCACAAAUGCAAGCCAUAAGGUCUUGCCUGUGGAGAGGACUGCCUUAGUGUGUAGUUGUCCGGCAAUAAUCCUCUGGCUGACCAGCUUCUCACCUUGGUAAAUGGGAAGCCCCCCGUUGACGUCCAGACAGGUUUAUCAUGUUCAUGGGGAACUUCUGCACCUUGGUCAGCAUCCAAGAAUUGUUAGCAGCAGUGUUUCUUGACAGCCUGAGAAACUACCACGUGCACAACUGGUUUCAGAAAAGAACGAUCUGGCCCCAAAAGAUGAGUAAAGAGUAUCACCUUGCAGAUACAGGGAAUGUUGCUUUCCAGUGGACAUUCCUGCUGCUCCAUCAAUGCCAUCAUGGGUCUCAACGAAGUAGUUAGUUACCCAGUAAAAUUCCUCAGUGCCUUUGAGCUGUCCGUGUAUCCACCUCAGACCCUCAACCUGAAGUCAGCACCAAUCUUCCUGUUUUGAAACCUGCAUUGUCCCAAGUUGUGCAACAGGACACCUUAAUCAUCGAGACCCUUCUUCCACCAGGUUCAGGGGACCAUUCAAACUGGAUGUAGAAUAGGAGAAGACUUCUUUAUACCACAAAUCCUGAUGAUUGUGGACAAUCUCCCAUUCAUUUUCAAGAGGAUCCAAUUUCCCAUCAGGCUUGCUUUUUCAAUGAACAGCAACAAAGCACAAGGGCAAUCACUAAAGGUGGUGGGCAUCAACUUCCAAGGGUCAUGCUUGUCACAGCCAGAAAUUUUUCAUGCAUCUCCUUUGAAUUCUCUUCUUGUGUCCAGUAUGUGUACUGUAAUUGAAAAUAAUUUGUCAUUAAUAGAAUUCUAUCAUUUUGAAUAUUGUUGUAAAUAAACAUGUUAAUCACAACCACACCACGUGUUACUUCC